AGCUCGGUAACAGCCAAGCUGCCUGCACUGGGCACCCAGGAUGUGAGGCGUGGCCAAAACAGCUGAAGCAAAUACCGGGAAGAUUGUAACCUCCUAGUUCUCACCAGUGAGGAAGUGGGGGAGGGACCUGCAAACUCGGGAAUACAUUGCUUGAUGAAGCUGCACCAGCCGUGCCUGCCUGCCUGCCUGCCUGCCUGCCUGCCACACGUCUGAUCUUGCAAACCCGCUCACAAAGCCUCGCUUUUCCUGCGUUUCCUGAGUCUGAGUCCAUCCUCUGAGUGAACUGAGAGAGAGAUCUCACCUGCUGGUUCAUUCCCCAAAUGCCACAGGUCUCCCACGUGGAUGGUAGAAGCCCAAGUACUUGGGCCAUCACCUGAUGCCGCCUAAGAGCCCUCUCGUGCUGCAAGACACAAAGCCACACGACAAGGGAGGAGGAGCAGAAGGACAGAGGAAGGAAAAUGGGAUGUCAAAACAUCAAGAAGCCGUCCAGUGGGCUUGGAGUACUUGCGACUGACCCAACUCGGGGAGAAAAAUGAUUUCCUGGGUAGUUAAUUCACUCCAAGUCUAGUUUCUGUGAUUUGCAAUCAACAGCAAUAACAAUUAAAAACAAAAGUCCAGCUGUGCUAGUGGUGUCCAGGAAACUGUGCAUAUGUGGACGUGUUUUAUUUAGUUUAUUUCUGAGUCUCAGCUAACUUACUUCUUAUUUCUCAUGUUAUACCUUACAACGUGAUGGUACGUCCAAGAAGGUCAUGGUGACAAAUGCAUGGUAUGACAAAGCUAUGCAUGGAUUUCUGAAGAAUUUUUGCACCCAGAUAAACUGAUCUGUUAAAUU